UACAUAGGGUGCGAGCGUUGUCCGGAAUUAUUGGGCGUAAAGAGCUCGUAGGCGGUGUGUCACGUCGAUCGUGAAAACUUGGGGCUUAACUCUGAGCUUGCGGUCGAUACGGGCAUCACUGGAGUUCGGCAGGGGAGACUGGAAUUCCUGGUGUAGCGGUGAAAUGCGCAGAUAUCAGGAGGAACACCGGUGGCGAAGGCGGGUCUCUGGGCCGAUACUGACGCUGAGGAGCGAAAGCAUGGGGAGCGAACAGG
rnacentral:rRNA from 1 species